GAUGAACGCUGGCGGCGUGCCUAACACAUGCAAGUCGAACGGAGUCCAGCCUGUAAGACCUUCGGGUCAAAGAGGGGAAGACUGAGUGGCGGACGGGUGAGUAACACGUGGGCAACCUGGCUCAUAGAGGGGGAUAACAGAGAGAAAUUUCUGCUAAUACCGCAUAAGCACACACUGCCGCAUGGCAGAGGGUGAAAAGAGAAUCGCUAUGAGAUGGACCCGCGUCUGAUUAGCCAGUUGGCAGGGUAAGAGCCUACCAAAGCGACGAUCAGUAGCCGAUCUGAGAGGAUGAACGGCCACAUUGGGACUGAGACACGGCCCAAACUCCUACGGGAGGCAGCAGUGGGGGAUAUUGCACAAUGGGGGGAACCCUGAUGCAGCGACGCCGCGUGAGUGAAGAAGUAUUUCGGUAUGUAAAGCUCUAUCAGCAGGGAAGAUAAUGACAGUACCUGAAUAAGAAGCCCCGGCUAACUACGUG
rnacentral:rRNA from 1 species